rnacentral:misc_RNA from 1 species
GUUCAACAUUUGUUUCUCUAAAUCUCUUGCGUUGUUGAGCUUGUUAUUCAAACUUAUAAAAAUUGAUUAGGAAGUUUGUGUAAUUUGUUUCAAUAAGUCCAAGGCACUAUUUUAUUGUUUUCUUUUCUUAAGCUUAGGAUUAUAUAUUUGUUUCAUUUUGAUAGCUUUUAUUCUUUUGACUACUACAGCUUAAAGAAAAUCAUGACCGUCCUUGUUUAAAGCAUGUUUUAGUUACAAAUAAUUUAUGUGUUGUUGCUACCUUUUGCAUAAUGUAAUCACUGCUUUAAAUCUUGGUUCUUUUGUGUCCAUUGCUAUUUUGAAUUCUUUGUAAUGCAUGGAGUAUGUUUGAUCAAUAAUGCAUGGUGUUUGUUUUGCAUUUACUAAGCAGUAGUGGUAUGCAUAUGACGGAUGCAUUAGUAUGUGUCUAUGCAUUUCGUGUCACUGCCAUUGCUCUACUUGUCGUGGGUUCUUGUUUUAUUUCGUAGCUUCAUUUGGA